rnacentral:rRNA from 1 species
CAAGGUGAAACCUAAUUGGCCUGGAGAAGAGCUUGCGUCUGAUUAGCUAGUUGGUGGGGUAAGAGCCUACCAAGGCGACGAUCAGUAGCUGGUCUGAGAGGAUGAGCAGCCACACUGGGACUGAGACACGGCCCAGACUCCUACGGGAGGCAGCAGUGGGGAAUUUUCCGCAAUGGGCGAAAGCCUGACGGAGCAACGCCGCGUGAGGGAGGAAGGUCUUUGGAUUGUAAACCUCUUUUCUCAAGGAAGAAGUUCUGACGGUACUUGAGGAAUCAGCCUCGGCUAACUCCGUGCCAGCAGCCGCGGUAAUACGGGGGGGGCAAGCGUUAUCCGGAAUUAUUGGGCGUAAAGCGUCCGCAGGUGGUCAGCCAAGUCUGCU